rnacentral:tRNA from 1 species
GGCAGUUUAGCUUAAUGGUAAAGUACUCAGCUGGAGUCUUUGAGGGAUAUGGGUUCGAGUCCCAUUCCUGGUU